rnacentral:rRNA from 1 species
AGCGAACGCUGGCGGCAGGCCUAACACAUGCAAGUCGAACGAACUCUUCGGAGUUAGUGGCGGACGGGUGAGUAACCCGUGGGAACGUGCCUUUAGGUUUGGAUUAACUUAGGGAAUCUUGAGCUAAUACCGGCUGUGCUCUUCGGGGGAUCGUUUUAUCGACUUUAGAGCGGCCUGCGACUGAUUAGCUGCUUGGUGGGGUAAAGCCUCACCAAGGCGAGGUUCAGUAGCUGGUUUGAGAGGAUGCUAACCGACAUUGGUAGUGGGAAACGGCGCAGACUCCUACGGGAGGCAGCAGUGGGGAAUCUUGCGCAAUGGGCGAUAUCCUGACGCACCCAGGCCGCGUGAAUGAUGAAGGUCGUAGGAUUGUAAAAUUCUUUCACCGGUGACGAUAAUGACGGUACCCAGAGAAGAAGCCCCGGCUAACUUCGUG